GAAGAAAUGAUAGUGGCCUGAACCAGGGUAAGUCUUGUGUAGGUGGUUGAGAAGUGAUUCCUCUGGAAGGUAAAGUUACUGAUGGAACUGAAGGGAGGACAUGAAAGAGUCAAGGAUGACUCCAAGACUUUCGACCUGAGUGAUUCAAAGGAUGGAGUUACCAUCAGGUGAAAUGCGGGAAAGUUCAGAUGGAACAAAUCUGAGAGAAAGCUGAGCUCUGGGCCAUAUGGAUCCUUUAAAAGAGACAGAUGCAUGAAGUUUGGAGCAGUGAAUGGGACUGCUUGAGAAGAUAACCAAAGACGGGAAUCGAGAUUUGGACCUACCUCUUACCACUAUCCUCAUGAUGGAGAGGCAAAGGAUUUGCUCUGUACCUGACUGCAUUAUGAAACACCUAUUUGCCUGACCCACCCCUCCUCAGGCUGCACCACCCAGGACACUAUGAAAAUGAAGUUGCAACUGACUGGAAGUCAGCAGUACUACACCGG
rnacentral:lncRNA from 1 species